rnacentral:rRNA from 1 species
AUACGGGGGGGGCAAGCGUUGUUCGGAAUUAUUGGGCGUAAAGGGCGCCUAGGCGGCCCGGCAAGUCAGUCGUGAAAGCCCUCGGCUCAACCGAGGAACUGCGUUUGAUACUGCCGGGCUUGAGUCCCGGAGAGGGUAGCGGAAUUCCCGGUGUAGCGGUGAAAUGCGUAGAUACUGGGAGGAACACCAGUGGCGAAGGCGGCUACCUGGACGGGUACUGACGCUGAAGCGCGAAAGCUAGGGGAGCAAACAGGAUUAGAAACCCCGGUAGUCC